GCAUCGGUGGUGUAAUGGUAGCACACGUCCCUGCUAUGAAUGAAACGCGGUUCGACUCCCGCCUGAAGUU